AGGAACAAUAAGAUAAAUGUCCUCCUGAGACAGGCAUUUUUAAUGAAAAGACGAACCACAUCCCUUACAAACUGAUUUACCAAAAAGCAUCACAAUCAGGAAAUUAAGUCUAUUCACUGGAUACAAAAAGUCAUAAGUCACCUGGGUAAAAAGGAAGAAAUCAUAUGCAGACUUAAAAAAAAAAUAAAAAAUGAGAUGAGGGAAGUAUGCCAGUCUGCUUGUGGAUUCCUUCACUCGCUGAGACCACACUCAGCCUAGCUGUGCCUACAAACAAACCUCAGACAGACGGAGACAGAAACAAAGGCAAAUAAAGAUGGCCACUGACAGAAGCUGCUUUUGACCGUGUUUGACCUCAGGCAGCCAUUUCUGCAUCGUCAGGUCACAUCUUCUCAUCGGCCCCAUAUGUCACAUUUAGGUGCUAAAAGUUCAGGCCGCGGCUGCUGAAAUGGGAAGGGAGCACAUCUGGCACCUCAAACGGGAAGCCACGCUCGCACGUCUGCGUGCGCAUGUAGCUUUUAGCUGAGGUACGGGCACACAAGUGAGUAUUUCUCAGACCGCUUGUGCGUGUUGUGCAAUUUGUCAGUGAACUUAAAUGGACUCUGUGUAGGAGAGGAAGGGCCCCCUGAAACUGACCGAAGGAUGUGGUCAGCGGAGGAAGAGCGCGCAGACAGACGGAGAGAAAAACAGGGAGGCAUGAUGCAGCACCAGCACAAAGGCGCAAUAAUUCUCUGCACUCCAUAGCCUGGAUCUCCUGACCUCCUCCCCCCACCCCCAACAUAUCCAUCUAGCUCUUUUUACCCUCUUUUCUUUACCCACCAGAGUGUGAGACAAAAAUGCAGUGAGACAUCAGGUGUUGCUAUGGCAACAGAAAGAGAGAAUAUCAUGGAUUGUGUAAUAUGCGGACAAAGACAAACACAUACUGAGCAAUUCCGGUUUGAUUCUAAAGCUCCCUUUAAGUGCAUGUGCUGGGAAUUACAGACUUUCCCACUUAAAAUAUUCUGUAAAACCAGUUUAAAAAACUCCGUAUGAAUGAGUCAAAUUAACGACAAGAACAAGAGAAACAAACAAAAGUGUUUUGUAAGGUUCCAGCCACAGCUGGCCCUUCAGGAGGUGAACUGGUGGGACUGCUUAUCGCAUUUUUUUUUUUUUUUACAUUCCUAUUUCUUUUUCAAGGUUUCCCCACAGCCCCAAGUCACAAUUACAGCUCAGAUGUUAAACACAAAGUUAAAAUCACUCCAGCAUGGCUUCUGCUUGAGGGUUUACAGAUUCCUGAUCUGCAAGGUUAUCUUUCAGUCUUCAGAGAGCGCUCCACAUGGACUUCUUAGUCUCUCUCAGAUCAGGGAGAAAGCCAGGACAAUUUGUUUGACUUUACCUUUAAAAUAUACUUCAGUUGAAGUUCAAAUAUAUAAAGCAUUUGAAAAGCUUGUACUGUACAAAAAUCUACAUAAACUUCUCGUAGUGAACUUAUGCUCCUCUGUUUUCUCUUUGAAGCUGUAAGCAGGAUCUGUCAAAUGGCUAAAUAAAGUCAAACUAGGUAACAAAAUGUUAUGCUUCAUAUUUCUACCCACUUUGACUAAUUAUCUGUUUAUCUGACCAUCUGCCAUGUUUCAAUCAUAUUUGUCUUCCAGUGUGUCACAGAUUCAGAAUGUAUUAGAUAAAAUACAGCUUUGGGUUUAUAUUCCAAGUCUAGAAUUAAAGAGUGAAAUUUUAAGUGAAAUUUUGUUUUUGUUUUAUCGCUUCACUGGAUGAAGAUGGGCGUUAGUAGGGCUUAAAUAAUGCUCAGCAUUUCUAUUUCUGACCAUCAAGUAAGGGUGAAAUAGACUCCAAAUUUUCUCACAAUAUAUUUGUGAUGUUUACAACAAUAUGUUACUAUAAAAAGUACCUCAUAUUUAUUAACGCCGUUUAGAUGUCCAUCUAUUCCUGCAUACAGUCAGAGGUCCACAAAUAUUGCUCUAACAAUAUCAUGCCUUUUGCAAUCAGCAUAACAUAAAGAAAUAAUACUAAAUAGUACCAAGCAGUCAUUUGACUUCAUCAGAACUUCACUUUUCAUAUUUUUAUUUAUUUGGAGCCACUCUCCUGGAACAAACGGUGGAAAAAGUAUCUCAAUCAGAAGAAACAAUCUUAACCGUAGUGUAAGUUUUUCUAGUUUGUAACCAAAAUACUUUUUUUUAUCAUAACAAUUGAAAGUUAUUUUAAAUAUGUUCAUUUGCAUCUUUUUAAUGGUUUCUCUUUCAACAAAAACCGUUUAAAAUUUAAUUAUUUAUAUAAAUCGGUUUACUGACAGAUGUGAAGAUUUUUAGAAAACAGUCUUAUUUUAUGCCAGUUCCUUUUGUUAUUUGCAAAGUUGAACAUUUUUACAAUAAAAAUACUUGCUGAUUAAAUUACUAUUAGAACUGAAGCAAGUUAUUUAACACAUAUUCCAACCACAUAAAAAUGCAGAAUAGCUAUAUCUUGAAACAUGUAGAAAUUACAGACACUUUUCUUUCAAGAACAUAUUCUCGUUUAUUAUGGGUCACUGAGUGUACUCGAAUAUGAAUAAAUCUGUCAUGCAAGAUAAUGUGGAAGAGUCAAACAAGAAUGAUUUGGUGGCGCUGUGCGGCAAUAUCUUGUUGCAGUGAAAGGCCUGGUUAAAUAUGGUAUGAUUUACUUGCUCAUAUGAAGCUGUGACAAGAAGACAAGGACACACAAUUAAACGCAGAAAGAGGUAAAUAAACGCUGUCCAGAAUCCCCUGACUAGGAACAUUUUUUAAAUGAUGGGCUUCUUUCAGCCGCGUUCUGGAACGCGGUUGCUAGGCGACGGGUUAGCCUAUCCUAGCGGCUCCAACCUGCACGUUUUACCGUGAAGCGCAGAUUUCUGUUUACAGGGAUCUACUGUAGCUUCACAUCCGAGGGGAAGAGAAACAAGCGGAACUAAAUGGUCCAUCCUCCUGACGCCUGGGCAGGAGACGGAAUUGUGCAAGUUCACUUGGCAGGCACUUCGCAGGCCGACAUCUGGAGAGCAUUACGUGUGCAACAGAGACGUGAAGCCAUGGGCUUUCAGCAAUUUGACACUAAGAUUAAAAUGCUAAACUAGAAUUUAAGCAUCCUGGUGUGAGCAACAUGAGGAUAAGGCCGUAAGUUCAGCUACAAAGAGAUGGAUGAAAACAGCGAAGAAGAUAAAAACGGCGUCUUUAACAUAACUUUAAAAUGCA